rnacentral:lncRNA from 1 species
CCCGGCUGAGCCAUCAGCUUUUCCCUGAGGCUCUUCCACCACUGCUAUCAGGUGUAUGCGUUUAUUUCCAUGACGAAGAGCACAAGCUUCUGCAAGACCACCCUCUUUGCAGAGUUCGGAGGCAACAAGAAUGGAUGUGGGCUUUAGUCCAUCCUCACGGGCUUCCAGACUGCUCAUGAUUGUCCCUUCCAGAUUGCCUGCCCCGUGGACUUAAAGCUCCAGCAUCAGUUGUAGGUCCUUCUACUUGUGGGAUGUGGGACGCCGCCUCAACGUGGCCUGACGAGCAGUGCCAUGUCCGCGCCCAGGAUCCGAACCCUGGGCCGCCGCAGCGGAGCACACGAACUGAACCACUCGGCCACAGAGAUGGCCCUGAUUCCUCUUUCUUCUUGAAGAUGGUUGCUGAGCUAACAUCUGUGCCAAUGUUCCUCUAUUUUUUAUAUAUGGGAUGCUGCUACAGCAUGGCUUGAUGAGUGGUGUGUAGUUCCAUGCCUGGGAUCCGAACCUGUGAAGCUCGGGCCAAGGAAGAGCACAU